AUAAUUCACCAAGAAGAGAAAGAAAAAUGAUAAAAAGAAAGUUAAUUGUUGACAAUUAACAGAAAUGAAAAGAAAAUUAUACAAAUUAAAAUGGUUUCUUUUUCCUCCAAACAAUUGAUGAGUCAAUGGGUUGGAGAUACAAAGAGUUAACGAUCAGAUCAAAAAGAGAAAAGAACAUUUGGUUCUCUGUGUCUACUUUUCUGUCUAUUUUUCUAUAAAAAUUGUUUUUUCUUUUCUUUUCCUAAUUAACCAUUUUUCUAACUGAAAUUAAUCAUCUUGAUCGUUUGACUUUUCUUAUUAAUUAAUUGUUAUUAAUUUUUUAUUCUUUCCAUUUCCUCUUCCCUUUUCUUCACUCAAUCCAAUUCAUCCGAAUGAAUCUCAUCGAUGACAAUUUGAAAACCUAAUCAUUUAAGUUAAUUUAUUGUUUUCUAAUUUCUACCAACAAUUACAUGGAUAAUGAAGGUUGUGUAACAAUGGAUUAAGAUUUUCCAACAGAAAGUUAAUCAUUCCAACUAAUGAUUAUUCAAAAAAUGGGUAUGGUGAUUAUUCUGGUUCAGUUAACCAUUAAGGAGGAAAAAAAAGUUCCAAGCCCAAGAUGAUCAACUCAAAAGUGAAUCGAAUAGAAUUUUAUUUAUCAUCAUCAUUACUGUUAAAAGCUUUGACUUAUAGGAAGCAACAGGUAGAAAUCAAUUUGGUUUUGAUGAUUAUUACUGUCACUUGAAAGGGGAAGAUAUCAAAUCGAGUUCAUGAUUAAUCGCUGCCUCGGGUAAUUUUACCCUGAAUGAUAACUGUUUUCAUGUCGAUUUAGUUUAUUUUGACUCUUAAUGUUUUCUUAUGGCUCAAGCUGAUAUAUGAUGAGACACAAUUAAACUAUCAAUGUCACUAUUAAUGAAGAAAAUAAUCCAAAUAAUUUAGCCUAAUUAGUGGUUACAUAAGUUAAAGACUCAAAUGCUACUGUUUUUGAUUGCUGGUGAUGAUAAAACUCAGAUUUUCUGUCCGCAACGUUGUUUCUAAUCACUGCCUGAUCAUUAAGAUGAAUUUCAAUCUAUUGUGAUUGAUUAUUAUCUCCAUUAAAGACUAAUUACUGGAAUAAUCUUUUCGAGAAAAGAUAAAGAUCAUCAUCAACCAUAAACAGGACUAUACAAAUGUGUGAAUAGAAAUCAAGAGUAUCAAGAUACAAAUGAUUUCAAAGUUGACAAUUUAAGUUGAAAAUGUCAAACAUUUUUCAUCAUUCUCCAUGGUUCAGUCAACAUAUUCAUGAAAGAACAAAAAAACAAAAUUCUUAUCCCGGAAAUAUCUCCCAGCAUAUCAUUCACAUUGGAACAUCAAUCUCUCAAUUGACAAUCAGUCCCGUUUUAACUCACAGUUAAGGAUGGAAAAGAAAGAAAUAAAAGAGAGAGAACAGAAAUAUCAUCAUUCGGAAAGUAAACAGUUGAUCUUCAUCACUGUUUCCGUUAAUCACUACAGUUGAACUUCAUUCCACUCUUCUAAAAAUGCUUCAUGGUGACGCCAACAAUUAAUGACAAGGCUUUGUUUUCAAUCAACUCUUUCAACGUUUUUCUAAUUAAGGGCGAACCAUUGAUCAAAUUAAAAAGAAUCUCCAACAAAAUGGAAGCACAAGACAAAAGCAUUAAAAUACAAUCCAGUUGAAAGGAAGAAGAUUAAUGAGACUACGAAAUCAUCAUGAUUUUUGUUUUCCAAUCUUUGAAUAAGUCACGUUAAUGUCAAGACAAGAGAUAAAGAGGAUUAACAAAAAAAGAAGGAUUAAUAAGUUUCAUCAGCUGAAUACGAAAACAACAAGAUUGUUUUUUUUUCGUAAUAAAAGAUGAGGUUAACCAAAAACAAUGAGAAGAUAAUGUUGAUUGAGAUAAAGGAAUAUAAAAGAAACCAAGAUAAUCAUGAUUACGAUUUAGACAAUUGGAUUAAACUUACAUCAUCAGCUACAUUAACAUUGGCACCACAUUUGCAUAAUUGUUCAAUUGCAUCAGCAUGACCAUAACGAGCAGCAACAUGAACAGCAGUUUCACCAGCCUACACAUUUGGAUAAAAACAAAGAAAAGAAAAGAUUAAUUAUCGUAACCAUGAUGGAUGAAACCUCAAUUCACAUUCGACUGUAAACAAAAAGUUUUCUAUUCUUACCUUAUUUUUACUAUCAACAUCUAAUCCUUUCUCGUAAAGGUAACGAAUAAUUUGAGUGUGCCCUUGUCUUGCCGCCCAAUAAAUGGCACUGUCCCCAUGCUGUAAACGAGAAAUUUUGGUUAAAUCAAGUGGAUCUUUUGUUUUUGGACAAUCGGACUUACAUUAUCGACUAGAGUAAAGUCGGCUCCUUUUUUAAUCAGAAAUUUGAGAAUCUCCAAUUGUCCUAAACCAGCAGCAACAUGGACAACCGUUUCCCCAUGCUGAUUACCCGAAGUAUUAAUUGUUUGAAUCAAUCGAACCAUGAGCGAAAUGAGAAAAAAAUGAAAGCGAAAAAAAAAGUGAAUCAUUUACUUCAAUAUGAGAGAUUUGGAGUUAAUUGUUUUCAAAUGGAUUUUUUUUGUUCCCUAAACUUUUUCGCUGGGAAUCAACGAUGAGAACAAUACAAUCCAUUGUAAUCUAUCAUGUUAUCAUCACAUUCACUCUUCAAGUGGUCAACAAUUUACUUCCCAAGGGUAAACUAAUGGUCAAGAUUAAACCACUUACCGUAUUAGCUUGGUUAAUAUCAAUCUUGGACAUGUUGACCAGUUCUUGGAGUCCAUUCAGAUUACCUUCUUCAACCGCACCAAACAGAGCUGCCAGGACAAAGUUUUCAUCUUGCUAAAUAGACCAAAAAAAAGAGUGAAAAUUUGAUUAAGAAAACAAUUAAUUGAGUUGAUUAGUUGAUGGAAUUGUUUUGUUUUCUGGUUUAGAAUCCUUAUAAUUAGAAACUCAAUUAACUGAGUGCAAUUGGAUUUUGAAAGGGUCAAGAUGAAUAAAAUUAACCGUGAAAACCAUCAUCAGUAGGAUAAUAAUCAACAGUAACAACAAUUAACAUGAUUACACAGUUGAAAACAUUGAAUUAAAGUGUGCAAGGUGAUGUUAACAGUUAUUCAUUUAUCGUUUAAAUGUUAAUUCGCAUGAUGGUGAUUUAUUGGUGGUGAUCAUUUACAAAGAUAAUUUGGAUAUUCAGUCAAAUUGAGUUUCUGGUUGGAUACGAAUAAUUCAGAAUUCGAUGGAACGUUUUUCGACCAAAAUCUCUCUUAUUUUUAAAUGGAUCAUGUUCUUAGUGUUGAGAUUUCUACUUAUUACUUUUCACACGAUUUCGUUAUGAUGGUUUACUGAUUUGAGGUCAAAACGAAUGUUAAUCCUGAUUAUCAUUACGUAAACAUCUCAAUGGGAUAGAAACGAAUAAAUUAACGCAGAUAAUUAAUAUAAAUGAGCCUUUUGGUUUAACAAAUUAGAAAUUAAAUUGAAAGGUUUGAUGAUAACCGAAACUGGAAUUGAAUUGAUAGUUUGGUAUCAACGAUAAAUCAUCAAAUUGUCAAGACUAAAUGAUAAGAAAACAAUUAAAUCAGUUAACCAGACAUUGAUUCAUUCAAGGCGUCUACAAUAUGGAUACGAUGAAAAUUAAUCAACAGUAUUCAAUCAUCGUGAUAAUUAUCAUCCUAGUGAACAUUGAAAACAGUCAACAAUUGAAAAUGAUAACGUACCAAUUAAGAAACAAUUAUCCUAAUUACUGACCAAUUAUAAUCAUAACAUCAUCAAGUUUGCGGCGAUUUUGUAGUGCAUCAUAAAAAAUGAGAUGAUUCAAAUGCGUUGGAGGACAGUGAUUAGGAUUAUAAUUGGUGCUCACUAAAAGUUAAUUAGAGCUCAUUGAGCUUAAUCAACUUCACAAUCAACAACAACAACGAGGUUAUCACACGAUGGAGGAGUAAAAGGAUAUCAAAACUACCUGAAGAUGAUUUCAAGAGAUGCUCUUGAUUUAGAGUUAUUAUUUGGCUCAUAAUUUUAAUAAUCCAACUAACUACAGACAAUUAAGCUUUAAGCAAAAGAGUUGAUCUGGUUAAAUGUCGCCCAACAACUGACAAGAGAACCGAAAAUAGCCUGAAAAACCUGCGAAAUUAGCUUCAUGUUAUCAAAGUAAAAAAGUGAAAUUGUAACAUCAUCAUCAACAUCAAUUAUAAAUACAUUCUGUUGUUAAAAAAGGUCACAUAAGUACCAUGAAAAUUUCAUGAAAAUGAAUCUAAUAUCAGGUCAGAAUUGAUUGUACGUUUUCAGGCGUUUUCACCAUUUAAAUUGUUAACAAAAGUAAAAGGGUAUCUUACAUUUAAAUUUAUUCAAAUUUAUUAAUAUGUAAAACUUAAACCUUGUCAAUGGAAAACGUUGAGAAUCAAACAAACAAACAAAAAAGGAUCAAGAAGAUGAGGAUGUUAACAAAGGUCACUUUUGGAUCUUCUCCAGGGAGACAUCAUUAUUAUCGUUAUCAUGGAAUCACUGUUCUGAGUGAGAGAGAGAUUGAGAUAAAUAUUUUUCUCAUGAAGAAAAAAAAAUUCACAUUCAUAGCCAAAAACAUUUGAAACCAGGAAUUGGAUUAACUCUCAAUCAUUUCAAAUCCAACUUCCGAUUAGGAAUAUCAACUACCCUGAAUAUCAAUCACCUGUUAAUCUAAUUAAUGAAUACAAGUAUUGGCCAAAGUGAAAGAAAUUCAUUGAUUGGAAAGGUCAAUCGAAUAGAUUUAGUUAAUUAUACAAUAUAUUUAAUCUAUGGUAACAAUUUGCAGAUUACUAUCAAGUUAACUGUGAACACGACACACCCAAAGUAAAUCUCAAAAUAAUCAUUAUAUUUAAUAUAUUUUUCCACUAAUCCAUUUGAUUAAUGAAAAUAUUAUUAUGUUACAUUUGGAUCCUUGAUCCAUCAACAGUAACAAGAACCCAACCCUUUUCAGUUAAUUGUUUCACUUAUUCUGUGAAGGUUAUUGUUAAAAUUUGAUUUCAUUUCAUUUAAUAUUUGAUUAUCGUGAAAUUAUUACAAAGUUUUCAUUGUUAUUAGAUGCAAACGGUAUUAAGGAAAUGUUGAUUAGUUGAUUAUCACAUUUAUUUACAACAUUCCAAGUGUACCAAAGUUUUAUUGUUAGCUAACAAUUAACUUAAUUCAGUUAUCUACCUUAAUUAUCCUGUUUUUUUUUCUUACCUUUAACCAACCAGAACAAUUUAACUUGUUGACUAUCUAAUUCACCUUUAAUUUUUCACCAUUAGAAACACAAUUUAACCAAAAAUCUUUACAAUUGAAUUAGAAAUUAGUUAAUUGUUUCACUAAUUAAUUGGUUUCUUUUCUCCUUAAAUUGUGUUAACCUUCAACAAUUUAUCAUUACAAAUUGUACCAUUUUCAUUUUCUCAUAAAUAACUUCCUUUACAACUGAAUUAACUAAUCAUUGUAAUAUUAUCAUCUCAGCAAAUACUAACAAUUUAUUAAUCACAAUACAAGGAAAACUUGAUCUGAUUGAUAAAAAUUUGGAUUCCCUCCAAUAAAGAUAAUUACUGUUAAUAGUAAAUAUCAUUGAAAUGAUUAUGUUAAUUAUCACUAUCAACAAAUCAUUAAGAUGUAAUUAUAUUCUGAUGAUAACUUUUUAAUUGUUUAACUAUGAAAAUUUAAAACUUGUAAACACAAAAACCAACUAGAAGACGAUUAACUUUAAUUGUUGAGAGAUGAUGAAUCUAAAAUUAUCCUCUCCAAACUAAUAUUCAUCAUAAUUAACUAUUCAUGAUCAAUGGAAAACAAAAUGAAUGGUGUUAAAUUAUCGUGACUUUAAUUGUUACCGUAAUUAGAUGAGAAAAUCAAGAAAACGUUAUUCCGUUCAAAUUGUAAUUCUUAAUUUUAUUUAUCUCGAGUUAACUGAUUGUAAUCAUGAUUUGAUUUAAUCAAUGGUUCUGGAUCAAAGGAUUUGUAACCUCAUAUGGAGUUUAAAUUGUUAUCAAUUAUAAAAAGUCAACAAUCAUCAACAAUUAAAGUAUAGACAUACAAUCAAAAUUGAAAUUGUUGGUCUAUCAAAAAAAAAGGUAACACAACAAUCAACAAGGUUAAAUUAAUUUGUUCACAUUUUGUAAUUUCAACAAUCAGUUCAGUGACAUUGGUACACUGAUUAAUUAAUUGUUGUUACUGAACAAAGAGAAAGUUUAAUCUUCCAAUUGAUUUGGUUGAUUAAAUCAAUUGAUGAUUAUCACUCGAUUUCUAAUCAACUUUCUUAUGGAUUUUUAUUUUGAUUACUCUUUAAUUACUUUGAUUGUGAAAAGUUAACCAUCAAUCACAAUUGAAACUGUUUCUUUGUUUACACAUUUGGAUUACUAAUCAUUACAAUUUGAUUUUUUUUCACCAGAGACACUUAAUUGUUGACAAUUAAACAUUCAACAAGUUCAUUGGACUUUAUGGAUUAUUAUCGUUGAGACAAUUAAGUUAAUAUGAUGUAUUAAGAUGGUGAAAAGAAGACAGAAAAAAACCGUGAUUAACUUAAUUGUUGGCGAAAUAGUUUAUUACUAUUAAAUGAUUAGUAGUAACAACGUUUAAAGGUAAAUGUUUAAACAUUUUCUCGUGAUUAAUGUUACUGUUUUUGGGCAAUAAUCACAAUUAUCAUACUGAACUCAAGUCAACAAUGAAAACGGAUCAACGAUGGAUAAGUAAACAGAAAUGAGAUAAUCAGGAAAAAAAAAGAUAAUCAUGAUUUUAAUGUUAAUAACAAUUGAGACUCGAUAAAUCAAUUAACUGUCAUUAUUAAUGAAUCAUUAAUUUAUUAGUGGCGAUAGUGUUGGCAGGUAAGAAGCUGAUUGAGAGAGUAAGAGAUUGACCAUAACAAAAGAUCACGAAUUGACCUUUUCCCUCUCUCUCUCAAUUCCUAAAUGAUCAACAGACACAAAUUAACUUGAUUGUUAUUAACUGUUGCAUGUUGAUCUUGUUUUCAUCAUAGACGGAAGAGUAAACCUGACAACAAUUAACCAAGAAGCAACAAACUACCAGGAAGCAGAAAUAGAAACCAUUAAUUGUUAGAUAAACUAUUUUCUUGAUGAUGAUUAAAAGUAUUUAUCAAGUCAACGAAGGUGAAGAUGAUGAUAAGAUGAAGAGAGAGAGAGAGAGAGAGAGACAAGUUUUGACAGAAUUGAGUCUGAAAUCAACAAUCAACAAAUCAACAGAAAAAAUGUAAACAUAACCAACAUUUUACAUCCAUGAUGCGGCAUUAAGGUUUCAACACAAUCAACUAAUUGCAGUCACAACAAUCCUAAAACAAUCAAAGCUUGAUGGUGGAUGAUAUAAGUAACCACAUCAUCUUCAUGAUGGUGAUGAGGAUUAUCUUGUUGAUCAUGACGAUUAUCAUCAUUUGAUGGAUUGAGAUUAAGUUGAUGAUGUUAAGGAGGCGGAAACGGAUAAGGAAUGAGUAGAUGAAAAAAAAAGAUGGCUGAUAAAAGCGGAAGAAAAAGUUAACUGAUCAUUAUGAUAAUUAGUUAAUUGUUGGAGUUAAUUUUGCUUGGGAAAACAUUAGGUAUCAUCUUCAUUCAUAAUAAUCAACAACAUCAGAUGAAAAAAAAACAAAUGAUUCUUGGGAAAAAGUUUCUUAAUUGUAAUUUACUUGUUUAACUUUUUUUCUGUAUGAGAAAAAGUUUUAAUCAUUUUCUUAAAUUGUGAUCAGAAUUUAAUCACAAUUAAGUUGAUCUUAAGAUUUAGUUUUCUUCAUAGGAAAAAGUUUAAUCAUCUUAACCAUUUUCCCUUUUAAACCUUAAUGAUUAAAGUUUUAAUUGUUACAAUUUACGAUUUCUCUUUGUUAUUAUUUUCUCAUCAGAUUUAAUCAACAAGGAAAUUGUCAAUUUAAUGUAACAAUUUGUUUUCUUAUCCUUACAGUUAACAAUCAACAACAACGAUCAAAAGUUCAUGAGAAGAUAAUUAAAGUUCACCCAAAAGAAAUUAACAAACAAUUUAAUUAAAUACUACAAAAGAAAAUCAAAUCAACAAUUUAAAUACCAUUAUAAAAUUGACCAUUAAUCUUGAUUAACAAUUAAGGUUAAAAUAUUAGGGACCAUUGAUUGUGAUUUAACAUUGAGAUUCAAAUUAAAUCAUGAGAAACAGUAAAAAGUAAAUUGAUUGUCAAAUUAACUCAAUUUAAUUCACUUUUCAAUCCUUUAAAUCAUUUAAAUCACUUAAUUAAUCCAAAGCUAAUCUAUUCGGAUCAAGAUUACAAAUCCAUUGAUCAAAAUCCAGCAAAUAAUUGAGCUAAUUGUUAACAAUUAACUGACAAUUUACACAAAAAAACAAUCCGUUAUUUUGAAUAUUAAAUAACAAUUUUUAAAAUCACCUUCUCAAUAGGAUCUGAAUCAACAAUUAAUUGGCAAUUAACUUUGAUGAAUUAAAUCAAUGUGAACCAGCAGGAAAAUAGUGAUCAAAUCAAAUUAAUCAGGUAACAAUCAGUUUACAAUUAAAACUUGAAACCAGGUAACCUUGUUAAUUGAUUACAGGUAAGAGUGUUUAUAAGAAAAGGAAAGGAAUUAAAUUUAAUCAUUAUGAUUAUUAAAUCAUCAUCAAUACCUCAUCAUCAUUGAUUCAUUCAACUAAUGGAAAAGUAAAUUGUAAAAAUUAAAUGACGAAACAACAAUUAACGUAACGAUCAAAAUGGUUAAUUAAUUUGUUUUCAACUGUUUCCUUUGAGUGGAAAUGAUUAAGUUAAUUAUGGAAAAUCUUGAUUUCUAAUUAUUAGAUAAUCAACCUUGAGACAAUUAAUAAAAGUUGUAAUGAUUAACACACAAUCAAAUGAAACAAUCACCAUCUAAAUCAAAAAUAACAAUCAGUUAAUUGUAUUGAUACAAAUUAAUUAGAUUUAAACAAUUAGUGUUGAUUGUGUUGAUUUGAAAAACUAUUUAGUCAA